rnacentral:rRNA from 1 species
AGACGAGGAAGCUUGCUCCUCUGACGUUAGCGGCGGACGGGUGAGUAACACGUGGAUAACCUACCUAUAAGACUGGGAUAACUUCGGGAAACCGGAGCUAAUACCGGAUAAUAUAUUGAACCGCAUGGUUCAAUAGUGAAAGACGGUUUUGCUGUCACUUAUAGAUGGAUCCGCGCCGCAUUAGCUAGUUGGUAAGGUAACGGCUUACCAAGGCAACGAUGCGUAGCCGACCUGAGAGGGUGAUCGGCCACACUGGAACUGAGACACGGUCCAGACUCCUACGGGAGGCAGCAGUAGGGAAUCUUCCGCAAUGGGCGAAAGCCUGACGGAGCAACGCCGCGUGAGUGAUGAAGGUCUUCGGAUCGUAAAACUCUGUUAUUAGGGAAGAACAAAUGUGUAAGUAACUAUGCACGUCUUGACGGUACCUAAUCAGAAAGCCACGGCUAACUACGUGCCAGCAGCCGCGGUAAUACGUAGGUGGCAAGCGUUAUCCGGAAUUAUUGGGCGUAAAGCGCGCGUAGGCGGUUUUUUAAGUCUGAUGUGAAAGCCCACGGCUCAACCGUGGAGGGGUCAUUGGAAACUGGAAAACUUGAGUGCAGAAGAGGAAAGUGGAAUUCCAUGUGUAGCGGUGAAAUGCGCAGAGAUAUGGAGGAACACCAGUGGCGAAGGCGACUUUCUGGUCUGNAACUGACGCUGAUGUGCGAAAGCGUGGGNUCAAACAGGAUUAGAUACCCUGGUAGUCCAC